rnacentral:tRNA from 1 species
AGUACUUUAGUUUUAAUUAUAAAAACAUAACUUUGUGGAAGUUGAGAUCUCCUAGAGAAGUACUA